rnacentral:rRNA from 1 species
GAUGAACGCUAGCUACAGGCUUAACACAUGCAAGUCGAGGGGCAGCAUGAACUUAGCUUGCUAAGUUUGAUGGCGACCGGCGCACGGGUGAGUAACACGUAUCCAACCUGCCGAUGACUCGGGGAUAGCCUUUCGAAAGAAAGAUUAAUACCCGAUGGCAUAGUUCUUCCGCAUGGUAGAACUAUUAAAGGAUUUCGGUCAUCGAUGGGGAUGCGUUCCAUUAGGUUGUUGGCGGGGUAACGGCCCACCAAGCCUUCGAUGGAUAGGGGUUCUGAGAGGAAGGUCCCCCCACAUUGGAACUGAGACACGGUCCAAAACUCCUACGGGAGGCAGCAGUGAGGAAUAUUGGUCAAUGGACGAGAGUCUGAACCAGCCAAGUAGCGUGAAGGAUGACUGCCCUAUGGGUUGUAAACUUCUUUUAUACGGGAAUAAAGUGAGGCACGCGUGCCUUUUUGUAUGUACCGUAUGAAUAAGGAUCGGCUAACUCCGUG